AGUAAAAGCCUGCCAAAAGAAAAUGGGUUGUCUGAACUCGGAAAUUCAAAACAGUUAUUUCAACUAUAUCUUUACUAUACUAUAAGUUAUUAGAACGCGUUUUUAGUUUCAAGUAUACAGUGCUCAAUCAAUUUAAUCUUUUUCAUAAUUGUACUCAAAUUGUCUGAGCGGCUCUGCAUGACGUCACGGUCACGUACGUACGUGCUUUCACCUGAAGGAGAGUCCGCCAUGUUUGCUCUCACAUCGAGUCUUUACAACUUUACAACAAUUUGGACACAACAAGGCGAUAUUGUUUAGUUUAUGGAGCAAAACGCAGACUUUUGAAGGGACUUUUGUUCGGACAUGCAGGAGUUUUUGUCUCUACUCUGCCGAAUGCACUGACUGCUGUAGCAUUGGUGCUAUCUUUGAGCUAAUCUGGCUUAAACACAAGCAACUUGGUUAUAUCUGGAGUCUGCAAUCUGACCACCUUUUCCCUGAGAUGUAAAGAGGUCAUCAGUGAUGACUUGCCUGUUGGAGAGAUCCUGGAGUGCUGGCCUGCCCUAAAGAUGGAGUCACAGAUCUGUGCAAAGUUUCACAGCAUUACAAACAUCAACCUGAAAAACCACUUCUAUGCUGAGUUAGACAGACUUGUCUGAAAGGGUUUGUUCAGGAAAGCUGCACGCACAGGGAAGGUAUCCGAAGUCCUGGAUCAGCUCUUCAACACUUAUGACCUCCAGGAACAAGUUGACAUCAGUGUCCAACGUGCUGCUGUCCUCCGUGCUCUCCCUACAUAUCUGUAUGAGGAUGACUCCAGGUUUCUGAAGCUGUUGGAUGUGGCCCUGUCAGAUGAAUGCAAAUCAACAACAUACCUGCCGGGCUCCUCAUGAUCAGUGCCACUUCAACAGAUGAACCAGAUCUUCUGCCCCGAGAAGGUUGCAGUUGUGCUUGAGGGUAACACAGUUGUCGAUUUCCCCACAUUUUCUGACGCAUUAGUCAUGCUUUUUGCACUAAUUUAUGUACUGCAUCUAAGUUACUCAAAAGUCUGGGUCAAUACAUUUACAAAAAAUGUUAAUGGGCCUCGAGGAUAGCAAGUUGAAGCCUAGGUUAUUGAGCCCCACACACACACACACACACACACACACACACACACACACACACACACACAAUGUAAAACUUCACUGAAUUAUUUCUGUUCUUGGACUUGGGUAAUUUUGGAAUUGCAAAGAGCAGUGAAAAAAUGCCUGUUGAACACGAAGUUUGAAUGUUUCCGUUGGAAAUGCUUUGGUUUUUGUGGUGUAUUUUAUGUUUUCCACGUGUAUUAAGUCGUGAUUGGCUUUGUUUUAUAUCAAGGAACAGAAUCUGCCCAUUAGUUAGCACUAGUAAACUAUUUCUUAUUAAUACUGUUUCUGAACUAUUGCUGAGUCUUUCUGAAAUCAAUAGCAGACUUUCUUUGGUUGAAGUUUGAUAUUAUAUCUAUCGUGUGUUAAAAUGUGUUUAAUUUUCACUAAGAAUUUGUGUAUUUCAGGAUAUUGUGUUAACGCAACUUAAAAACAUUGAUGUAAUCAGUUUCAACAAAUGUUUUAAGUACUUCAAAAUAUAGUUUUGAGCUGGAAUUAAGUCGAUUUUUUAAUUAUAGGAAAGUUUUCAAAACUAAAUGAAACUCAAAAUAUAUAUAAACAUAAUGUAAA